rnacentral:rRNA from 1 species
GAUGAACGCGGCGGCGUGCUUAACACAUGCAAGUCGAACGAGAGAUACAGGAGGAAGUUUUCGGACGGAAUCCGGUAGAUCGAGUGGCGGACGGGUGAGUAACGCGUGGGGAACCUGCCUCAUACAGGGGGAUAACAGUUGGAAACGACUGUUAAUACCGCAUAAGACCACAGAGUCGCAUGACUCAGGGGUAAAAACUCCGGUGGUAUGAGAUGGACCCGCGUUCGAUUAGCCAGUUGGCGGGGUAACGGCCCACCAAAGCGACGAUCGAUAGCCGAUUUGAGAGAAUGACCGGCCACAUUGGGACUGAGACACGGCCCAAACUCCUACGGGAGGCAGCAGUGGGGAAUAUUGCACAAUGGGGGGAACCCUGAUGCAGCGACGCCGCGUGAGUGAAGAAGUAUUUCGGUAUGUAAAGCUCUAUCAGCAGGGAAGAAGAUGACGGACCUGA